AACCUGCAGCAGAAUUUAAUCUGAACCUGAAUUUGUCCCCUCCAUUAUUGCACAUGAACCCACACUUUCCAGUGAAGAUCAGUGGUCGGCAACCUAAUCCUGAACUUUAUGGGAUCGCUGAAAACUUUAGCCUGUGGCAGAAGUACUGUAAAAUACAGUAGCAAGGACAGUCUACACUAGCAGUCCUGAAAUGGAGGCCUUGGCUUGCUUCUUCAUACCAGUAAUUCACUCCCUUCACAUUCGUUGUCCUGACCUUCCAUUCUCUGCAGCAGUCAGGACAAUGCACAGGAAGUACCAAGAGCUACUGCUGUAGACCUGAUAGCAUGUCAUUCAAGUAACGGAACUACAGCUGGAUACUUUUCUGCAUCACAACCAAAAUGUCAUUCUGUUCCAGAAACACAAUCUCUUCCACCUCUCCAGUCAGGUCCGCACGUGACUUGAUCCCCCUUCAUUUAAAAGUCCUAAUUUGCUAAAAUCAGCCACAAAACACCCCAGGGAUGGCAUUACCCAAAAGAUAUGACCAGGUUCUUCCAUAGAUAGACAUAGCUUGUCAAAGUGGUUUUCCAUCUCAGCAGAAAGACAUCACUCAGAAUACAUUUUACUUGUUGCAUUCACCACCCACACCCCUACCUCCCAUCCGUAGUGCUGCAUACCAGAACGCAGGUCAACGGUCACAAUUUUUCCCAGAACAUCCUAGAUCUGUGCCUCCUGUAUUAGUUCAAGAGACUGUAGCAAACACCAAUGAUACAUUUCAAAACAGUUUGCCCAUCUACCAUUCUCGUUCUCAACAAAGGAACAGAAAUGAAGCAAAUCUGUUAGAUGUAGAAAACAAAGAACAUUUGACAUCUUCUCAAACACACGAAACAAUUCAAAUUCAAAGAAAGACGUAGCUGAGAUUAGACCAACUUUCAUGUAUAAAAACGAUAACUUUGUUGCUCCAUCUUCAUCAACUGCAAGGCCAACCGUUACUGAGCCAGUAACGGUUUUACAGAAUGAGUCACAAUCCACUCUUAAUUGCACGUCUUAAUUUGAACUGUCCCAAAAAAUUAAUAGGAAUGGAGAAAUAGUUUCUCUAGAAACAGAUUGCAAUGUUGUAGAAUUGGUGUUCAGAAGCAGAUUACAGUGUUGUGGAAAUGGUUCCUCCAACAGUAAGGAAUUUCCAUCAUAGUCUUCUGUAUCACCAAAAGGUCUAGGAAUCUUAACAGCAAGCAGUUCCAUUCUGGGUGAAAUGAAAGGUGAUCCCAGCUUAAAGCCAGUUUCUGAACCUGCAUUAAACAAAAGCAAAAGGCUUAGAUGACCGCUUGCCAGGCUGGUCUACUGGGAUUCGGGAAAAUGAUUUGCCUUCAGAAUCAGAUAUAGAUGCAAGUUCAAUUGUGAAUUUGAGAACUGGGCAUUUAACAUCAAUUAGGGACAAAAAUGAAGCCAAACGAUAACCUGUCCAAACCAAUUGAGGUGAUUACCCAGACAGUGGAAGAUCCAUUAAGUGACCAUAUCCAAGAGAAAGGACAGAUAGUGAAAAUGCCAGGUUAGAUAGAUCCACAAUAUUUCCAUUUGUCAAGAAGCAUAUUCUAUACUGAUCAUGCUCUACAGGUUCCACAGUACAGACAUACUAACCCAAAGAGUAUAUGAUACGCAUUUUGUUUACCUGAUAAUUAGUUGCAGUAACACAAAGAUAAAAGCAUACAAUAUGCAAGAAGAGCCAAGUGUCCAGCACUUGGCAAAUAUGUUAAACUAGACAGAAGUUGGAGAGAUGUUCAAGGAGACAGAUAAGCAUGAGGACAAGGGAACAGAAAACGACAUUGAGUACAACGAACGAAACCAACAGAGUGCAGUCCAAGCAAAUGAUGAGCCAACAAACACACCCAGUACAACACGUUGGAAAAUGGAUCUGGGGGGAACAAAUUAUAGUUGCUGUUAAUUUAUGCUCAAGUGCAAGUGAAUUAGGCCAGGAUAGAUAUAUAGAGAAUAUAGAAGCUGAUCACCAUAAACACAACAGUUAAAGUUUGAUAAUUCAAGCUUUUUCUUUUCAAGAUCAAGGAAGUGUAGUGGAAAACAAUCCUAAAGAUUUGGCCAGUAUGAAAAAGAGAGAGACAAUAACAAUUAAAAUUUUAAACCAAAGCAAAAGGUGAGCAUUUUCACCAGAAAAAUCGGCAAUGCAAGGUAACAAUAUAGAAACUCUUGAAUAGCAGAAAAUAGGGAGCGGGAACCUUGAGACACAACGUGACCUCUGGAUUAAAAGGUCUGUAAAAAGCAGCAGCACAGAUAAACAACUAAGCAGUGAGAAAAUAAGAGCGUCCAGUGGCUGAGAAAGCUACAGUGAAAUGUACUAAAAGAAAGGAAGGGGAAUUGAAAUCAAACACACCCAAAGAACAUGACGAAGCCUUUACAGUUACAACGGACAGGCUAAAGGAAAUGAAUGAGAAGGAGAGCCGAGGCAUGAAAAAGAGCCAACGUACAAGCCACGCAAUGCCAAAGACAAAAGACGAACAAGAAGCUGCACAGCAUCGCUGCAGUGAUAGGUGGAAAACAAUGGGAAAGAGAUGAGGGAAUCAUACGGUAGAAACAAAAGCAAGAAACAAACAAAGAAGACAAACAUGAAUGGGGUAAAUAAGGUUGUAAGGGAAAGGCAACAGAAAGAGAAAGUGAAUAAAGAAGAAAGGAAGAAUGCUGGGAAUGUAGAAUUACAACACGCACUGACAGGAAAUACUGAGGUAGACAUUAGAGAACAUGACAUGACCAUAGGUACUAGAAGAAAGAAACUGAUCCUAGAACAGAAUAUAGAAAGGCAGAGGAAAGUGGGUAAAAGAAACAGAGACCAGCUUCAACUUCCAGGACUAUGGAUGGAGGGAGACUAGUUAUGUAUGUCACCACUUAAACUAGACAAGGGUCAGUAGAAUGAAAUCAAAAAUAAAGAAAUGCAGGUAUUGAAGUUAAUAGUGACAAGAGUAUUGGCAGCUGGAACAGCCUCCCAGGAAAAAACCUACCACAACAGAUGACAGAAAAACCUGAAACAGAAAAAAGGAAAUAGAGGAACAAAUUUUGUACAACCAAGCCACUGUUGGGCCAAAGACAUACCAAGAAAAUUAAAAUGCAAAGAUGAACAAGAUUUAGACCUUCAGCCUCACCUGUGCUUCUUUUUUUUUUUUAAAAAAGGAAAAAGCAAAAAGGAAGGAAGGAAGGAAAAAAUUCCCACAAUCACUUGGUGAGAAAAUAAACAAAGUCAAAGAAAAAAAAUAAAAUUGCAAGAAAGGUAACGUGAUCGCGAGAUAAAACAAGAGGAAGAAAUUCAUCACUUAUGUAUUUUUAUUCACAACCAUAAU